CCUUUGACGUUAGCGGCGGACGGGUGAGUAACACGUGGGUAACCUACCUAUAAGACUGGGAUAACUUGGGAAACCGGAGCUAAUACCGGAUAAUAUUUCGAACCGCAUGGUUCGAUAGUGAAAGGUGGUUUUGCUAUCACUUAUAGAUGGACCCGCGCCGUAUUAGCUAGUUGGUAAGGUAACGGCUUACCAAGGCGACGAUACGUAGCCGACCUGAGAGGGUGAUCGGCCACACUGGAACUGAGACACGGUCCAGACUCCUAGGGAGGCAGCAGAA
rnacentral:rRNA from 1 species